UACGUAGGGGGCUAGCGUUGUCCGGAUUUAUUGGGCGUAAAGAGCGUGUAGGCGGCCAAGUAGGUCCGGUGUGAAAACCCGAGGCUUAACCUCGAGAUGUCAUCGGAAACCAUUUGGCUAGAGUCCGGAAGAGGAAAGUGGAAUUCCUGGUGUAGCGGUGAAAUGCGCAGAUAUCAGGAGGAACACCAGUGGCGAAGGCGGAACUCUGGGCCGGAACUGACGCUGAGGAGCGAAAGCGUGGGGAGCGAACAGG
rnacentral:rRNA from 1 species